GCGGACGUAGUACACGGCGCACCGCUGCCUUCUAUGUUGAUGUUGUGAGCGCGCAUGAUUGCAAGCAGUAGAUGGGGUUCGACUCCCCGCGUUCGCC